rnacentral:lncRNA from 1 species
AUUGACUUUGCUUUAAACUAUUGCCACCUGUAAGCAAACUAUCUCCACCUGUCAAAAAUAAAAGAAUGAGGAAGGGUUCAAUUGUUCUUUUACUAAACUACCCUCAACGUUGUUAAUAUGUCUAAUUGACGAGUUAAGUUAAGGACUUGAAUGACAUUAGUUUAUACUUGAAAGGAUUUAAUUGAUUCAUUUAGUAAACUUCUGGUCUCUGAAUUUUUUUCUAAAAAUAAUGAGGACUCAAUUAGAAAUUACCCUUUAACUAAUGUUAAAAUUAUAAUAUUUUCUACUCACAUAUACAAAUAAAAUUAUAUUUAGCGCCUUACAAUCUUUUUAUUUAUUAUUUUUCAUAAGUAUUAAAGUAUUUAUUUGUUAGUAUCCAAGAUAUAUUAAUCAACACAAAACACUAAUAUAAAUAAAAAGACAACAAUACCCUUAAAUCUCUCUUCUUCCCACCGUUGUCUCCAUCAUCAUUACACCCACCUUCAUCUUCCUCCAUCAUUAUCAUCUUCACCUACAUCUUCACAGUUUUUAAGAAGAAGAAGAAAAUAUUAUUAUGCUUUCAGAUCCAAAAUCGGCAAAACCCAUAAAAAGAAAAAGAAAAAGAAAAAGAAAAAGAAGAUGAUGAUAAUAUUUUGUCUUCGGAACCAAAAUCAACAAAAUCCCUAAAAAGAAGAAGAAGAAGAUAUUUUUUUUUUUCAAUCUAAAAUCGGCAAAAUCCAAAAAAAAAAAAAUGAUCUUGAGGUUCAAACUAACAUUAAUAAACCCACUUCAUACUUCUUAAAAUAAAUAAUUUCCAACCUCAAAAAAGCUGCACUAUAAAAGACCUAGCUUUAUUCCAAAACCUACCCAUCAAAUUCCACUUAUCCAAUCUCUUUCUCCCUGCUUCAACAACAACUUCAGCAAGCAAAGUCCAUUGUUGCCGCGCCUUUUCAUGAGCAUAAAAGUACUUGAACUCUGCACCUUAUCUAUUUUCUUCAACAUUUUUCAGGAAGGGUAAUUUUGUCCUUCUAAGACUUAUAAACAAAUUGUAAAUGAAAAGAGUACAAGAUGCUCAAGUAAAUUUGACAAUAGUUAAAUCAUAAAAGACAAAAGUUGGGGUACGGUAUAACAAUUGCAGCAUAGGCGGAUCCUAAAGUAUGAUGGCAAUAUUCCCACGGCGGCUCAUACCCAUCGGGCCCCAAUCAAUUUGGGUUCGGUAUAGGCCUUCAAAAAAUUUUAAAAUUAAAAAUGAGUCUAUGUUAAAAAUAAACAAAAAUUUUAAAUAUAUUUUGGGUUUGGAUUCGGUGAUUUCAUCAUGCUCCCGAACUCAAACCCAAACCCGAGAUAUUUUUUCUAAAUCCAAAUAUUUUUUAAUUUUAUCAAAUAAUUAAAAAAUACUCAACACAAUGAAAAAAAAAAACAAAACCUUGGAUCUAAAACUCACAAUCUCUCUGAAAAAAACUAUCAGUCGCAUCGCCACUUCCAAGUCUCCACCAGGGCUUCGCUUCUCGGC